CAGGGUUGGAAGUUGGCAUGCAGAAAGUGUAUCAGGGAGUGAUCACAGACUCAUAUCUGUGGGUCAAGGGAAUACAGCAGGAUUGUGUGUCUAAGGGACCAGUAGUGUUUUACUUCUUAAACUGAGUGAUAGAUAGGGAAAGAUAUGAUCUCUAUUUCCCAGGGUGGUUGGAAAUCUGCUGUUUGCUCCAGGGAAGACAUUAUCUCUAUCCUCCAAACUGUUUGCUAUAAAAACAUCGUUGAAAAGAUGGUGGAAACAAAAGGCAAUCAGUGCAUUGCUCAUAAGAUGUGCAGAAACAACAGAUACGAGGCCUGGAACCAGCCGCAGCGUCUUCUUGCCGCCAACCUGAAGAUGAAGCUGUGUUGCAAAAAGAACCCACAGGGAAGCAGCCUAGAGCCAUCGGACAGAGUGAAUCCUAAACCCCUCUGGACUUCCCACAAAGAAGCCUCCCUCUUGAAGCAAACAGGAAAAGAAUUUUGUUACUUUUAGCUGAAAGCAACCUAGCAAUACUGCUGUCUAUCUUCCUGUUAACUCUGGGAAAGAAGGGCAGUGUGGAGUGGGGUAGGAGCAGAGUUGGAUGCGGCACGGAUGGCAGGAAACCUGCAGUGGUGACAAUCAGAUGCACCCGAUGUCUAAGCCCUGCCACCAAGCCCAUCCGCCACCACCCAAAAACCUAGCUGUGAGCCCUGGCGACAUGGGCAUUGCGCUGGCCUGUUCUGUCUGCAACUGUAGCCUUAAUCUCUUCGGAAAGAUCCAUUACACUGUCUGGAGGAAGGCACUCUUCUCGAGACCUGUGAUUAACCCCAGAUUUUGAUCUUCAGUGCAGAUUUCCUGUGAGUUCUCUCUGAGCCCUCUCGAAGGCUGCGCCUCUGGGUUUAGCUACAACUUCCAAGACCAGGUCUUAAGACAGCCCUGUUAACUUGGCUGCAAACCUCCCGAUGCGUCAGCAGCGCUGCUGCAUACAGAUGGCAUCCGAGCAUCCCAGGAGAAGCCUUUCGAUUUCCAUAGGAUCAGGUCGGGUGUUUGCAAUGCGCUUUGCAUCAUGGCUACGCAAGCCUGUUAGCUUUAAUUUACUGGAGUUAAGUUUCUUUAAGACUUUUCUCCAGUCAUCUUCUCUAAGGCAUAUCAGGUUAGGGGCAGAAGGCACGUCUUAGAUCAAUAUUCCCAGCAGGAAAAGUCUCUGCAGGCUUCUGACUGCAUGGCUAGUCUUUUAUUUCCUGUGUUGUUCCAGUUCGUACCGAAGGGGAGAGUUACUUGUUUCUUUAUCCUGCCAUAUUAAAUAAAAUCCUGGUUUAGAGUUAGGCGAGGCUUUAUAAGGAAGAUAAAAGAGCUGUUUUUAAUAAACAGGGUGGAAUGAUAAGGCACGUCUUCUCUCGGCAGCAUUCAGUAAUACAAUCCGAGCACCAGGAUCUCCAGCUACGUGGAGAAUCGUUGUCCACGGGACUGAUCAACCAGCUGUUUGCUGUCCCACCCAGAAAGAGAACGGGAGGGAGCGCUCGAAUUGUGGCAUUUAGGCGUGGGGUUCGACCGGGCUUUGAAGAAGUUCAAACCAGCACAGGCGGUUGUUGGGCUGGGGCAUGUCCAGUAGGGGUGCAGCAAGCACCUGCUGUGGGGGGCGGACCAUCCCGGGGCUCUCAUCUGUCGUGUGAAAGCAGAAACGAUCGCCGGACCAACGCUGCAGUGGGGAGAGAUCGUAUUUUUCGAGGUCACUCAGGUGGUUUUGUGCUGGCAGAACAAUGAGUGUUUACUUUCUGAAGCCAACAGUUCGUGUAACAAGCCCCUUAGCAUGCCAGCAGAACAUCUCUCCGAGGUUUUCCUUGUGUCUGUCUUCACUGGCUAAUUUCGAUGCAACUGUCACGACUUAGCCUCUUAUAGGUAUCCCCUGGCACCUCUGUUUUCACUCCUCUGCUGACACAAGACACCAUGAGAGACGCCUGAACCCAGGCCCUGACGUGUGGUGGAAUAUUAGCUAAGCAACUCUGGGGAUCCUGGUCAUUACUUAGAAGGGAAACCCAGGGCCAAGUGAAGUUCCUUUUAGUCAAGGCAGAGGAGGGCAGCCUGCAAGGGGCUUACGGUCUGUUGGGAAAGGCAACAUGUAAGGUAGAACUCCGACGUCCUCAGGUUUCACCUGUUGGUGACUACAAAAUAUGACUAUUUCCUUCGUUAUCUCAAACACAAAGAUGCCAGGCUACGACUCUUUACCUACUGUCUGGCACAGGGACGGAGAAGCCCAGCAAAAAACUGUUGCGAAAUACACGUGCAACGAUGGUGAGGACGCCCAGCAUCGACAGACUGCCGACGACACUGGCAGAGUCUCAUGGGAGUCUCAUUCCGUAAGUGAUCAGCCCAGAGAAUGCUGGCUGAGGUCUUCACUUCUAAUAACUAAGAACAGUACUCAGAUUUAUUAACCACUUACCAUGUUUGAGGUAUUGUCCAAAGUUCUUUACAACAGUCCUUACAAAGGGUUCCCUUAUUACCUCAGUUUAUAGGUGAGGAAACUGAGGAACAGAGAGGUUCCAUAACUGGCUCAGUGUAACACAGCUUUGAACCCGAUUGGGUUGGCGUUGCAACCCCCGGAGAGUGGAGAGGCUGGUAAACAAGAGUGCUCAACUGAGAAAUCGGCUGCGGCCGACAGGAGGCCGGAAGGAGGGAGUGACAGGCGAGGCAGAGACUAGGCAACAAUCGAGUAGGCAAAGGAUGAAGAGUCACUACCAAUUUUAGUCUUUGGAAAAGAGCUGGCAGUGCCCAGAGACACCCCAACAUGAAGGGAAUGACUGCGUGGCCUCCAAGGGAAGCGACUUUGAAGGAGAUGGGCAACUUCUGCUAAGCGAGCUCUGCCCCACCUAGGUUUCACUUUUUUUGGAAUCUCCCAUCACACAUUCCUCUACUAGUAACUACCCAAACCACAGCUAAUUUUCAAGGUAUUAAAAAUGGGUUUGUUGACCCAUUUUUGGGUUCUGUGUAAAAUUACACAGAAUAAGGAGUGGAGGGGGGUGAAAUAUAGCUAAAGAAUCAUCUCUAUAUUUCGGGGAGAAAACUCAACUGACACCCAUCUAGUUGUUUGGGUAGUUGAGACAUGGCCAGUGUUAAAAUGAUAUCAAAGACUAUUUCAGCCUCCAGGAAUUUUUCAAAACCACAUUUUUUUUUUUUUUUUUUGCCGACCCAUCCUGUGGUGUGUGUGUGUUUUGCUUGUUUGUUUGCUUGUUUUAUCCUUUGUUUUCCCAAAAGCUGAAGAAGAAGAAUUUCGAAGCCAUCUUAAAGUUUUGUUUAAGUUCAUGCUUGUCAUAGUCUGAUUUAUUUCAGAUUUUGUCCACAAUUCAAACUCAAAAUAUAAUUCCAUAAUAAUAUUCAUGGCCAAGUGUCUUUCUACUUAGAAGCCAAAGAGUAGAGAAGUUGUCUUCUAGAAUUUCUUUUUUAUUGUAAUUUUGGCUACCUCCAGUCUACCCUGUCUGUCUCUCUUUUGAAAAAUCUUGUCUACCUUUCCCUGGCCCAAAUUUUUAUUCUUCUAUUCUGUUCAGGCCAGAAUGACUUAAGCAAUAGUAAAAAAAAAUAGUAGGAAUAUGUAUUCUUUAUUUACAUGGCAACCCUCUUUUACAGAUUCUAAACUUUAGACCAGGGAGUGAGAACAUUUGCCUUCUAAAUAUUUGUGGGCUGGAUCUAGGUUCCUUGGUUUAAGGCAUUCAAUACGGAUGGGAAUACUUGGCAUAACACUCAAGGUUAUAGUUUUCUAAGUGUCACUUGUUAUUUUCCUUUGUUACAUAAUCCUAUCUCAUUUCUGCCCCUCUCAAAAUAGGCUUUCCAGACUAGUGGACUAUCAAGAUUAGAAAAUUUGACUCUUCAACUGAACACACUGCUUUGGGCACUGCAGAUCGCUCUGGGCUUCUUAUAUUUCCAACUCAGAAAAGUGGUACUUUCAUUUCGGUGAAGGCUAAGUUAAUAACAUACUUGUGAUUCUGGAAUAUUCACGAUGGAAACCGGGUUAGGAAAUCCCAUGUCACAGUUCCUCUUGCUCAUGUUUGGAAACCUCAGGGAACACCAGCAAUGUCUGGCGACAAACCAGGCCUCCCCCUCUUCUCUGUGUCACUGAUCCCAUUUCUUACUCGCUGUCAGAUUCCAGCCAAGAGAACCUCCCACACACAUCUUGCACAUGUGGGCCCAAUCCCCACACAUGCAGCAGUCAAUAAAAGCAUUUACGAGGCACCUACUGUGUGCUGAAGGGGGACUGUGUGUCACUGUCCACUCAGCCAGUUCCUUGAGUAAAAAAGUGGCUCAGAAUAUCUUUCCAGAAAAUGUUCUCUGCUUAACACCACCCUCUCUAACAUCUCCAUGAGAACACUCUGGAGAGCACAGCUCCAGCACUGCCUAAGAUAGUGUUGUGCUAGCUUUCUGAUCAUGACCCACAGGAAGGAAUAAAUUUGAUGACACAACAACCCUGCACGCGCACGCGCGCGCGCGCGCGCACACACACACACACACACACACACACACACCUACACACCCCUUAUAAAUACAGUUAACCAAAACAAAAGUUUUGGGGUGCCUGGGUAGCUCAGUUGG